GUAGGUGGCAAGCGUUGUCCGGAAUUAUUGGGCGUAAAGCGCGCGCAGGUGGUUCUUUAAGUCUGAUGUGAAAGCCCCCGGCUCAACCGGGGAGGGUCAUUGGAAACUGGGGAACCUGAGUGCAGGAGAGGAAAGUGGAAUUCCACGUGUAGCGGUGAAAUGCGUAGAUAUGUGGAGGAACACCAGUGGCGAAGGCGACUUUCUGGCCUGUAACUGACACUGAGGCGCGAAAGCGUGGGGAGCAAACAGGGAUUAGAUACCCUGGUAGUCCACGCCGUAAACGAUGAGUGCUAAGUGUUGGGGGGGUUUCCCGCCCCUCAGUGCUGCAGCUAACGCAUUAAGCACUCCGCCUGGGGAUACGGUCGCAAGACUG
rnacentral:rRNA from 1 species